UACCCGCUGAACUUAAGCAUAUCAAUAAGCGGAGGAAAAGAAACUAACAAGGAUUCCCCUAGUAACUGCGAGUGAAGCGGGAAGAGCUCAAAUUUGAAAUCUGGCAGCUCUUUGAACUGUCCGAGUUGUAAUCUAGAGAAGUGUUACCUGUGUUGGACCGUGUUCAAGUCUCCUGGGAUGGAGCGUCAUAGAGGGUGAGAAUCCCGUCUUUGACACGGACUACCUGCACGUUAUGGUGCGCUCUCAAAGAGUCGAGUUGUUUGGGAAUGCAGCUCAAAAUGGGUGGUAAAUGCCAUCUAAAGCUAAAUAUUGGCGAGAGACCGAUAGCGAACAAGUACCGUGAGGGAAAGAUGAAAAGAACUUUGGAAAGAGAGUUAAACAGUACGUGAAAUUGCUGAAAGGGAAACGCUUGAAGUCAGUCGCGUCGGCUAGAAAUCAACCUUGCUUUUGCUUGGUGUACUUUCUUGUUGAUGGGUCAGCAUCAAUUUUGACCGUUGGAUAAAGUCUUUGGGAAUGUGGCAUCUUAGGAUGUGUUAUAGCCCAUUGUCGCAUACGGCGGUUGGGAUUGAGGAACUCAGCACGCCCGCAAGGGACGGGUUUCGACCACGUUCGUGCUUANGAUGCUGGCAUAAUGGCUUUAAUCGACCCGUC
rnacentral:rRNA from 1 species